GGCGCCUUAACCCCUUCGGCGCCGCCCGCGGUCAGCGGGGCCGGCUCCGUGCGCUGCCUCAGGGCUCCCGGCCGGGACCAGCCCCCUCCUGAUCGGCGGGGCACGGGCGGCGGCAUCGACCACCGCCGGCCGGGGGAACAGAAGAAAAUCAAGCCCCAGAAAAGCCUCUCAGAACAUCGGCACCUGUUACUGGACCUACCUGAACACAGAAAUCAAGGGUAAAAUGCACACACCGGUGAGCCACUCUUUCUGCAGAUGCAAGUGAGCCAAUUAAUGAUUUACAGUGUUUUGAAGAAAAUUACUAUGAAGGCAUGUAUAAGAACCAGUCAACAUCCACAUCUUGUCACAUUUAGUUCUGGAUAUCAACAAAGCAUUGCUCAGGAACCAUCAGCAUCCAGAGUACAGAUAACAGCCGGAGAACAAAGAGCUCACACUCAAUUGAGGAUCCUUCAGGAAGUUGUGAGUGUUGACACAGUUAAGGGGCUGUUACGAGUACUUCUUUUGAAUGUGGAAAGCAGAGCAUUAAUAACAGCAAGAAGUUUCUUAUUUCUUUUGUCUGAGCUCCAGAGUUACAUAUGCUACAAGAACUUGUAG
rnacentral:lncRNA from 1 species